UUGGCGGACGGGUGAGUAACGCGUGGGUGACCUGCCUCACACUGGGGGAUAACAGUUAGAAAUAGCUGCUAAUACCGCAUAAGCGCACGGUUCCGCGUGGAACAGUGUGAAAAACUCCGGUGGUGUGAGAUGGACCCGCGUCUGAUUAGCCAGUUGGCGGGGUAACGGCCCACCAAAGCGACGAUCAGUAGCCGGCCUGAGAGGGUGAACGGCCACAUUGGGACUGAGACACGGCCCAA
rnacentral:rRNA from 1 species